rnacentral:rRNA from 1 species
UACGAAGGGGGCUAGCGUUGCUCGGAAUCACUGGGCGUAAAGGGCGCGUAGGCGGAUCUUUAAGUCGGGGGUGAAAGCCCAGGGCUCAACCCCGAGCGGUCGUGAGAAACUGGCAGGCUAGAGUGCGGGAGAGGAGAGUGGAAUUCCUGGUGUAGCGGUGAAAUGCGCAGAUAUCAGGAAGAACACCCGUGGCGAAGGCGGCUCUCUGGAACGCAACUGACGCUGAGACGCGAAAGCGUGGGGAGCAAACAGG